rnacentral:rRNA from 1 species
CCCUUAGAUGUUCUGGGCCGCACGCGCGCUACACUGAUGCAUUCAACGAGUCUAAAACCUGCUCUGAUAGGGGUGGGUAAUCUUUUGAAUGUGCAUCGUGAUUGGGAUAGAUGGUUGCAAUUGUCGAUCUUGAACGAGGAAUUCCUAGUAAGCGCGAGUCAUCAGCUCGCGCUGAUUACGUCCCUGCCCUUUGUACACACCGCCCGUCGCUACUACCGAUUGGAUGGUUUAGCGAGAACUUUGGACCGGAGCUCGGGUGGUCAGCAAUGGCCGCCCGAGACAUACUGGGAAAUCGCUCCAGCUUGAUCAUCUAGAGGAAGUAAAAGUCGUAACA